CUCCAGCGCAAGGAUUUUUUUUACUCCUCCUUCGUAUUAAAGUCGCCAUUUUGCUUCACUGCCUAUAAAAGCUUCUUCUAUUUUAUUAUUUUCUUUAAGGAGUCGACGUCGUUUCUAUCCUCUCUGUCGCUUGCUUUUUGACAUUUGUGGAGUUCGUUUUUAACGAGAGGGUUGAGGUUAAAGAGCGGGGGCUACGAGCGUGGCUACCGACCGUGACGGCUGUCCGUCCGCAACGAACCCGGCACACGGGACGGCGGCAGGUGUGAUUGCCAUGUAACAUCAAAAGGCACCGAGCGAAGACUAGGCUACAGCCUGACCCCACGUGGGUGACCCGGGUCACCCGGCCACUCUUGUUGGGUGGUUCCAGCUUUCCAGCUAUUACACUUACCAGCUGUUUUUUAUAUCAUCGUAUUACUCUUCUCCUCUCUGUUGGACGAGGCUGGCUCUGGAGGAGCAGUUAGCCAUAACAGCUGAGGUGAUCCCAUAUGUCUUAGUGGAUAAUGUCGUUAGAUAAUGUGGGAUAAUGGAGUUAUGUUACAGUGCUCACUCGGCACUCAGAUUCAGGCUCUCAACUUCGGCUAGGCCCUGUGAGUCCGGUCCUGUUCUGGUUGUGUUCUGGUGUUCUCUGGUUACUGCCCGGCUUCCGUGUCUUCAGCGGCCAGCUGACGGGCUGUACCUCUGAGCAGCGAUGGUGUUUUUUUUUUGUUGUUUUUUUUUGUCUCCAUCAUGGUAGACAGAGCAGGGAAUUGUUCUGUGUGGCCCACUCAUCCAAACACCCACCCCUACACUCCCUGCUCAAGACGCACACACACACACACACACACACACACACACUCACAAACACACACACACACACACACACACACACACA
ensembl:lncRNA